ensembl:lncRNA
UUUUCACUUUAAGCAUUUGAUGUUUUCUAUUUUCCCUUGUGAAGAAAAUACAUGGGUUUAAGAUUUACAAAUGAUAGAAUUCCUUUUUAAUUUGCACUUUACAGCAUCACAGAUUUCUAGGAAUCAAUCUUGUAUUAUUCUUGCCAUUGAUUUACAAUCUUGUGACUUAUGAUAAAUUACAAAAAAAAAGAACCCUUGACACAUUUGUGUGCCUGUGUCAGUCUUUCAAUCUUAAUGUUAGAGUUACUGCUCUCUUUUCUGACCUAUAUGUUAACUUAUUCUUGUACAGAACUUCUACUUGUAUAUAAAGAGUGACCAGAAACACAUGUCUAUGCUAAAAAGCCCACAGGGAAUGCAAACCUUCAACCCGGCCCAAAAAUAACUGACAGGUUCAGGAGACCAAAUGCUUGUAAAAUUCUCUUUACUCAACAGAACGUUAAAUCAUAGCAACAAGUCAGAGUCAAAUUAUCCAGGCAUUGCCAAACUUUCAAAAACUCCUUUAUCUUAUGUCUUCCCACAUAAGUUCUGACAUUAUAUUCCACAAUCAGAAUAAUGAUCAAGUAUAUAUUUUAUUUUAUUUUAAACAAAGGAAGCCAAGGUAGCUUGUUCUGCCAUUAAAUGACCGAUGAGGAGAGAAUGUGAACCUGCAGUGCUGCUUGUAUUCCGUCCAUGCAGUGGAAUCAGUGUGACUAAUGAAGAAUUACAUUCAGAAAAAUAAAUGUUUCUCUGUCCUUCCCUCCCUUAAAUUCUCUCCAAGCCCAGUGUCUGAUAUAGCUUAAACAAAAACCUUAACUGAAGACCAUGUUCAGUGUGGUAAAAGCUUGCACAAUGUUAAAAAGUAUGCGAAUCUGAGAUAUGACAACAUUCACAAUGGGAAUGAUGGGAAACAUGCGGUUUGGGGGGUUUAAAGUAAGGGAAAUCUAAUUUGUACGUUAAGUACCUAAAAGUGAAUUAAUAUUCUCAUUUGUGCUCCAGUUCAUCUACAGGUUGUUCCUCUAUCACUGCCUUUCCUCUCCAACAUUGUGUUCCACCACACUGAACAUUGUCCACAUUAUC